UAGUGAUUUAAAAGUGAACUUCAGCAUUUUUAGUACGAAACAUUUACAUUUUCCCUCAUUUGCUUUCAGGAGUUUCACAGAGCUUUGUACUGCUCUCACACAGAAUUGUCUUACAAAUUCUGCAAUGUUCUUUAUUUGCUUCUUGUAUUUAAGACGGUUGGGCUGGAAACACCGAGGAGCUCUGGUGAGCUCUCCAUAACUGACAUGAGGGUAAGUGCACGUCUCCCACUGGCUUUCAAAGGGUUACUCACAAAGAGUUUACAUGUCUUGACUGUCAAGUCUCUGUCUCCAUGCAUUUCCCACUCCUCCUGUCUCUUGUGUCUAAGGUUUUCUGCUUUCAGUCUUUGUCUCCCAGGGUCGAACUCCACCGAAGCCUCUAUUAAACAUCCUCACUGUGAUGCCUCUCAGUGCGAUGCACGAAUGCCCACCUUCUCUGCGAGGAGGAGGAGGAAGAUUAGAAGGCUAAAGUGUUUAACCUGCCUGUCAAACAAAAUUAUUCAUGGCAGAAAUGAGUCACAAAAAUCUUGAUGCAAACUCUGUAAGUCAAAGAGAGUCUGUCCAUUGACUUAUUGGAUCAAGCAUUUGAAGUACAGAAACAAAAGAGAUUGAGACACCUGGCUGAGCUGAAGAGAUCCCAUUUGCAAUAGCCAUCUAUGAGAGGCAGCAGAAGGCUGUGGUGGCUGGACAGAUCUAGCCAUGAAAUUAGGAUAAAUAAAAGAUUUUGCCACUGUGUCAUCCUCCAGUUGAUCCUAACCUGUGCUUGAAAUGAACUUUUGAUGUGACACAUUCAUCUCAGCAGCACUCAUGGCUUCAUCUUUCUGUUCGUCUCACCUACAGAUGACAAUUCUCUUUGCUUCCCUUAAGAACCUGCUUCCUAGGCUUAAGUGAAGAGCAGCUUCCACUGAAGGUGUGUAUAGAAGCUGGGGGCUGUUUCACACCUAUGAACAUGACGAACAUUGCAGUGAGGACUAUACGUGUUCUGGUGUUCAAACCCAAAGUAGGAAACAACUACUCAGGGAAAGUGAAGGAAGUCCCUGAAUUCUUGAUGUCCACCAAAGCUUUGGUUAAUGUGUAUGCUGAGUCUUCAUGGUAUGAGUAGAAAUUAGGGAGAAUAGAUACGAAAGCAUUUUAAAGCUGUAGAAACUGUUUAUGAGAAUAAAACCCUGAUCACGAAUCUCAGAUGCAAAAAAAAAAAAUUAAAUGCAAGAACUUUGAAAGCAUAUCCUUGGCUGUCCAAAUACCAAUUCCAGGCUGAUCUGCAGGAAAGGCCCCUGUAAUUCAUUAACUCAUCAACUCAUCACAAUUUAAUGAAGAACUGUGUGUUCUGGCUACCUCCAUCACUCUGCCACCCGGGUCUGAACAAACUCACUGUCUUCCUGAAGACACACAAACAUGAACCCUGCUAAGCUCUGCUUUCAGGGCAGCAGGGACUUCCUUCCAGGCAUCUUAUUUUAAGAUGUGAAGAAUAUUUGGGGAUUAAAUGGAUACCAUAUUAAUGAUAUAUCUCUUUCUCUCUCUCUCUCAAUCUGUCAUGGUGAUAUCAUGCCUCUCCAUCCUCUGACCUUAGAAAGACACUCAUUUAUGGGACUGCCUAAUGCUCAGCCAUCCUUCAGGAUGUUCAGAGAUGCAGAUUCACUCCCUCCACCAGGCACCUAUUGAAUCUGUUCAGGCCGUGCCUAUUAAAAAACUGGACUCUGCAGCCAAGAGAACAGUGAGAGAUGGAUGGUGCUGGCGUGCAUCCACUUCAGAGGACAGAGGCAGAUCAGCCUGCCAUGGACAGAGACAGACUAAUGAAACCUGCAGGACUGGCAUGCAAUUACCUUGUUUGCCAAACUCAUUAUAGAGAAGUCGCAUAUUUCCAGUAUGCUGCCCCUGGCCUCAGAGACAAAGCUGCCAGCUGGAUUAUGAAUAGUUCUGGUCCAUAUUCAGGUAGGGCUGGAGCAGGUGUAGUUUUGAUGAAGUUGGUUUGCUUGGCCCAGCUGAGACCAGGGUCUGGUCCCUCACAUUGUCGCUCCAUCCCCAGGAUCACUCAGGGUGGCCUCAGGACCACUGAGUUACACAAGAGCACAUUGACCCUUGAUGUGCUGCUCCAAAGCCUCUUAGAGCAACACACUGCAGUAGCGUCAUCACCCCUGUGCACAUGCCUCAUAGUUUGAACCUUGCUGAUUCUCAAAAAACACAAUGUACAAGUGUGGGAGCCUGAGCCAAAUCUGGUCUUACAAUGUUAGCUGAAAACCAGCAAAAUCCUUAGCAUGAAAAAAACCCUUCUGUCUCAACAAAGAAAUGCAGUGGUAUUUUGAUUACUUGGGGAAAUGCCUGUAUUUCAGAUAGCAGAUACUAUUUUGGCCUUGGCACGUUGGUCAAAGUCCCGUUACAAUUUCUCAGAGAGGUGCUGGGCCGUGGCUUAAGGCAGAAUCCAGGUAAAAAAACCCUUUGUAAGAACUGACAUAAAGAGCUGUAAUAAAGGAACUGUUGGUAGUGCCAAACAGUAAGUUUCCAAGCCCCAGGACCAUGGAUGGCUUCAUCUUCCUGAGUGCCAUCUACUGGCAUUUACCCAUUAACUCCUUACCCACAAGUGUGCAGGUCCUUGUCCCCUGGUGUCCCCUCAGCAGCUCCAGCUGCUCACAGCAGCCUCUGGCCAGGUUGCCUCCACGGUGGUGUGGGCUCGCCUACCCUGACCCACCGCCCUUUGGUGGGUGGGACGCAGGAUUUAAGGUGAGCAUCGCAGCCUGGCUCUGGCGAGGGGAAUGCAGCUCUGAAGGUGAUGUGCAUGGACUUGUCUUAUUAGCAGCAGCCUUGGGAUUGCCAUUGCUGAGAUGGUCCCAGCCACUGCUCGUUCACAGGCUCCAGACAGCAGCCUGGAGCCUGAGCAAGCAGCCUGGGGAGCUGUAUCGGAGACAGCAAAAUGCACUGAGACAUGUAUUAUGGCCAUGAAGGCUUGUUUGUUGGACUUGCCCCCGUGAUGGGCUGUUAUGGGAAAUGACACAUUGAUGUUGAAAGCCUUAAAUGUUCCUUGGGCAUAUUGACAAAAACUGCAUGCUUCUCCUUAGGCUGCUGAAGCAACAGGGAAGAUAACAUUUCCUUUCAGCUAAUAAAACCCGAUUUUAGUUGUU